CGAAGGUUGGCUAAUCCUGGUCGGACAUCAGGAGGUUAGUGCAAUGGCAUAAGCCAGCUUGACUGCGAGCGUGACGGCGCGAGCAGGUGCGAAAGCAGGUCAUAGUGAUCCGGUGGUUCUGAAUGGAAGGGCCAUCGCUCAACGGAUAAAAGGUACUCCGGGGAUAACAGGCUGAUACCGCCCAAGAGUUCAUAUCGACGGCGGUGUUUGGCACCUCGAUGUCGGCUCAUCACAUCCUGGGGCUGAAGUAGGUCCCAAGGGUAUGGCUGUUCGCCAUUUAAAGUGGUACGCGAGCUGGGUUUAGAACGUCGUGAGACAGUUCGGUCCCUAUCUGCCGUGGGCGCUGGAGAACUGAGGGGGGCUGCUCCUAGUACGAGAGGACCGGAGUGGACGCAUCACUGGUGUUCGGGUUGUCAUGCCAAUGGCACUGCCCGGUAGCUAAAUGCGGAAGAGAUAAGUGCUGAAAGCAUCUAAGCACGAAACUUGCCCCGAGAUGAGUUCUCCCUGACUCCCUGAGAGUCCUGAAGGAACGUUGAAGACGACGACGUUGAUAGGCCGGGUGUGUAAGCGCAGCGAUGCGUUGAGCUAACCGGUACUAAUGAACCGUGAGG
rnacentral:rRNA from 1 species